rnacentral:rRNA from 1 species
GACGAACGCUGGCGGCGUGCCUAAUACAUGCAAGUCGAACGCAGUGGGGACGGGUGAGUAACACGUGGGUAACAUCCCAUCAGAGGGGAUAACACUUGGAAACAGGUGCUAAACCGAUACUGAUGGAUGGACCCGGGGUGCUUUAGCUAGUUGGGGAGGUAACGGCUAACCAAGGCAACGAUGCAUAGGCGACCGGAGCGGGUGAUCGGCCACACUGGGGCUGAGACACGGCCCGGACUCCUACGGGAGGCAGCAGGAGGGAAUCUUCGGCAAGUGACUAAAGUCUUACCGGGCACCGCCGCGGAAGUGAAGGAGUUUAUCGGAUCGUGAAACUCUGUUGUUUGAGAAUCUGUAUUUAACCAGAAAGCCACGGCUAACUACGUGCCAGCAGCCGCGGUAAUAC